rnacentral:tRNA from 1 species
GACUCCGUGGCGCAAUGGUAGCGCGUCAGACUUCAGAUCAGAAGGUUGCGUGUUCAAAUCACGUCGGGUUA